rnacentral:snoRNA from 1 species
CCCUGCAUUCGAAAGUGAUGCGGGCUGCUGUGCCUGGUCAUUGAUAGUGCAGGGAGAGGAAUUGCUGAAAGCGUUUCCCCGUGUGGAGGGUCCAUCCUGUCCCUUGAACUUGGAGCUUCAUUACA